rnacentral:rRNA from 1 species
GACGAACGCUGGCGGCGCGCCUAACACAUGCAAGUCGAACGAGAGAUGAAGAGCUUGCUCUUCAGAUCGAGUGGCGAACGGGUGAGUAACGCGUGAGGAACCUGCCUCAAAGAGGGGGACAACAGUUGGAAACGACUGCUAAUACCGCAUAAGCCCACGGGUCGGCAUCGACCAGAGGGAAAAGGAGCAAUCCGCUUUGAGAUGGCCUCGCGUCCGAUUAGCUAGUUGGUGAGGUAAUGGCCCACCAAGGCGACGAUCGGUAGCCGGACUGAGAGGUUGAACGGCCACAUUGGGACUGAGACACGGCCCAGACUCCUACGGGAGGCAGCAGUGGGGAAUAGUUGCACAAUGGGGGAAACCCUGAUGCAGCGACGCCGCGUGGAGGAAGAAGGUCUUCGGAUUGGUAAAACUCCUGUUAGUUGAGGAAGAUAAUGACGGUACUCAACAAGGAAGUGACGGCUAACUACGUG